UUUUUAGGGCUGCACCCAUGGCAUAUGGAGGUUCCCAGGCUAGGAGUCUAAUCGGAGCUGCUGCCAGCCUACACCAGAGCCACAGCAAUGUGGGAUCCAAGACGCGUCUGCAGCCUACACCACAGCUCAUGGCAACGCCGGAUCCUUAACCCAUUGAGUGAGGCCAGGGAUCGAACCCACAACCUCAUGGUUCCUAGUCAGAUUCGUUUCUGCUGCACCAUGAUGGGAACUCCAGCAGCAAAUUUAUUUCUGGGAAGCCAUCCUAAGGAAAUAAAAGAUCAGAGAUGGACAACAAAGAUGUUUAAGGAUGGCCAUCACAGCAGUGAUGAAAAAAGCAACAAGCUGAAAAAAGCUAAACCUUCAACACCAAUGCCGUGGUUCCCUAAAUGAUGUCACACCCACGGGACAAAUGAUAACAAAGCCAUUAAAAUAUUUAUGAGAAUUUUUAAAAAGGGUUUGAGAAAACGUUAAACGUUUCCUUUCUUUUUAAAAAAGAAAGAAGGAUAAGCAAUUGAAUAUAGACUGCUCCCCGGAGUAAAGCUGUGAAAAGGAAAAAAUGUGCAAGAAAAGGGCUGGCAGAAAAUCAGUCAAAGAGUUUAGAGGUUGUCCCCAGGAGACAGGAUGCUCUGCUAAUGACUUGUCUUAAAUGAGCAGGUAUGACUUUGAGGGAGGAAAUGAUAGUUCAUCCAUUGACUCCCAGGCCUGCAGGCCCCUCCUGCCCACAAGGGGGCGCCCUGUGCUUUCCCAAGGUGGUGAGAACCUGGCAGACAUGGUUGUCUAUCCCCUGGGGCCUGGGUGCUGGACAGUGGCCAACCUCUGGCUGCUGGUUCUGAUGGACCACAUUCAUGUCUGCAAAGUGCCCUGCCCCAAGCCAUGGAGCAGACUUCCCAUUUCUUGGAUCCUACUUGCUCCCCCAAUUUUGAGGGCAACUGGAAGUAUACACACACCUGUCACAUGACAUAAGAGCCUGGCUGGUUACUCUGCCCAUCAAUUUCCCUGCCCCUGCUUCCUGAAGUCCCACCAGGAGUGAGUCAGCCGUCAGUGAGCUUGUUUUCCUCCUGGCCCCUUUGAGACCCGUCUUUUUUUGCAAGGAGAUGACACUGUCAUUUUUGGUAGUUAAUUUAAAGGAGAGCAUCCCAGGGACCCCCAGCCCAGGAGCAGGUAGUGAGGUGGGGGGCUGAGGACCUGAGGCUAUGCCCUGCACAUCAUGACUCCAGGAUGCAUGGCCUCUGCUCUCUGGUUCGGGUUAUGGGCCCCAGCUGCACCACCUCUGCCUGCCCUGGAGAGCAGCCUGUCCCCGGCCAAGCCCUGGGACAGAGUAAUAAUGAAAACACAGGCACGGGAGUUCCCAUCGUGGCUCAGUGGUUAACGAAUCUGACUAGGAACCAUGAGGUUGCGGGUUCGAUCCCUCGCCUUGAUCAGUGGGUUAAGGAUCUGGCAUUGCCAUGAGCUGUGGUGUAGGUCGGAGACGCAGCUCGGAGCUGGCGUUGCUGUGGCUCUGGUGUAGGCCAGCGGCAACAGCUCCGAUUGGACCCCUAGCCUGGGAAAUUCCAUAUGCCACAGGAGCAGCCCUAGAAAAGGCAAAAAGACUAAAAAAAAAAAAAAGAAAGAAAGAAAGAAAACACAGGCACGAAGAGGUUACUGAGGCUUACUGCCAGCACAUGGUGGAGUCUGGACUAGAACCCAGGUCGCUGACCCAAUUCCAUUCUUUCCAUCGCCCUGCAACAUGCUAGGAUCACACAAAGAUGAGGAAAACAUCCAGCCAGGAUGAUGAGAAACAGAAAAGAGCUGCUACUGUCACCGGCCCUGGCAUGUCGGGUGGCCCUGGGGGCGUCCCUUCCCCUCUCUGCACCUCAGUUUCCCCAUCUCCAGAACGAGGAAGGCACUGACCACUGGGCAGGGUCACUCUCCUCCCCCAGGCCUAUAGGACAGCCUGGCAGCCCUACUCAUGCUCUCCUCUGCCAGGGAGCGCUAGGCCCGCCCCACAGUGUGUCCAGCUGAGAAGCAACGGCUGGAGCCAGGAGGAGCAGGGGAGGAAAUAACGAACAGAUGGGCUCCUUGCCUGCUCUCUGUCCCACCCUGUCUGUGUGCUGUCUUGUGGCCGGGCGGCUGAGGAGGUCCUGGCCGAGAGUCGAGAGGAAAAGGGCUGUGGGUUUGAGAUGCCCUUUCUGUAGAUGAAGACACGGAGGCGGAAGGGCCCAGGACUCUUUGUGUGGACUUGCUGGCCCUUCCUGGAUAGCAAAGAAGGGUUCUGGGGACCCUUUCUAAAGGAGGCAAUGCCCCUUUCCCAGAGCCAGCUCUUUUGAGACCCCCUUCCUCAGGCCCACAGGCCUUUGCCCUCCCUGCUGUCUGUCCUCAAGCCUGGAAUCACCGGGAGUAAACAGGGGCUGUGGUCAGAGACCCUGGUUCUCCCAGGCCCACCUUGGACCUUCCGCUUCUCCAUCUGCCAAGUGCGGGGGCCGCUGAGGAGGAACUGGGACACUAACAUUUCAUGAGCACCUACUAGGUACCAGCCACUUGCCAACCUGUUGCUCCAAAGCUCCUCCAUUUGAUGGGAGAGCAAACUGAGGCUCAGAGAGGCCCAGCCACCUGUACAGGGCCCCACAGCCAUACAGCCAGGACUUGAACCUGAUCUGCUGGCACCACAGCAACACCUCCCACCUCAUGCACAGCCUUUCCUGAAAUGGUUGGGAGAAAGUAAGAGAGCAAGCCUGCUCCUAGGACCACGACCCCACCUCUGACCUCCACUCCCACCCCUGAACCCCUGGCCACCACCACAAUGGUUCAUUCAUUCAACUAACAUUUAUUGAGCGCCCGCUCUGCACCAGGUUCUGUGGAACAUUCCAGGAAUAUGGAAAUAAACAAGACAGAUGUGGAAUACUCUCACAGUCUGGGGCCUUGCAAAGGGGUCAGCCCUGUGUGACCCUUUCACCAAGCAUGGCCCACAGCAGUCACAGACACCCUAGGACAUGCACUUCCUGGCUCCAACUCAAGUCACACUCGCACCUGCAGAAACACUCUUGCACCCACGUCCUCUGGCAGAGUUCACCCGGUCCUCCUAGGAGACAGGCAUGGGGCCAAUGCAGGAUACAAGAAAUGACCUCUAAAAGAUGCCACAGCCCUACAAGAUCAGCACUCUGAACCCUCCUGACAGAUGAGAAAACUGAGGCUGGGGACAGGGGCAGCACGUACCCAAAGUCACAGAAUUAGUAAGCAGUGGGGCCAGGAUCUGAGCUUAAGCCUGCUCAGUGCUGGGACCCACACUGCUUGGCGGCGAUGCUGCUUUAGGGGCCCUCCAAAGACCCCCACUCUCCCACUCUCACGUGGGCACACACGUGGCCCAGGGAGGCAGGCAGGAGAGCUGCCUCAGCCUCUGCAGCCUGGUCCAGGCAGCUGUGGGCUGAGGGCUCCGUGGAGGCCCCAGAGGAAGCAGGCGAUCAGAGGGACAGGUGGGUUGGGCCCUGCCGCCAGCAGGCUGCUGGGAGGGAGGAAGGACGCUGCUAGAGCCCCCCCUGGGUUUCCUCCAGAGCCUCAAGGGCCCCCUUGUCUGAGCACAGGCGUCCUGGCUGCCUCCUCCAGCCCCCUCCCCUUUUCUGGGUUCCUGCCUCAGCCCAGCAGGAGCCCAGAAGGCCCAGCCUCCUCACCACCCCUCCCACCCCGUUCCCAGCCCAAAGCCACCGCAAAAAUGUCAUCCUGAUUCCACAACACUAGGGUUUGUCAAAGUGCAGAGGAACAAUGACGCUUUCACAGUGCCAGGAAAAGGUCUCAGGAAAACCCUGGGGAGGGGGCACGGAGUGGCGGUGUGGAGACAGGGAAAGGGCUGAGAUGGAGGGGAGAAGACAAGGGGAGGCUGAGAGGCAGGGGCCAGAGGCAGAGCUCAGUCAGGAGUCAGGGGCAGGGAGGAGGGGGUGGGCUGAGAGCCAAGAGAGUGAGAAGACAGGGGUGGGGGUGGGGGGGAGGGGUGAUGAGUGACAGGCGAAAGGGGAGAGAAGAGGGGGAAACGAACCAAAAGGGAAGGAGAAAACAGACACAGGAGGGAGGUCCGACACAGCCAAGAAGCCCCUCCAGGACCCAGAGGCCCCUGGCACCCCAUACACCUCCCCACCUCUGUGCCCCCAGGCAGAGCCCCCUCCUGGCCACAGGAACUCCUCUCUCCGAAUCCCACCCCCAAGCCAGGCAAUUGGAAGUGCUCUCAGGCAAAACUUUUUGGAAAGCAAAGACUUUUUAAUCACAUGAGCAGCCACUCCCUAAGUUAUCUGUUUCCUGCUUCUGGCUUUCCUCCAUUAGCAAACCGCACGGAUCAGAGCUCAGGGGUGGGAGGGGAAGGGGGGCCAGUCCAAAGGGGGUGGAAAACAUCCGAAUCAGAGCGAUUGCAAAAGCCCUAGGUUUUCCUCCUCUUCUAUGACUGCAGAGGCAGCAGUGGCCAUUCCCGCUGCCGCCGUAGAGGGUGGACGAGGUGGAUGGAAGCUCUGCAACCACCCGGCCGUUGGCUGAAAGCUGGACACUGACCUCUCUGAAAACCAUUUGUUCUCCAGAGCUGGUGCCCAGGUCCCUGUGCAUCCCUGUUUGGGUGGCCCGUUUGCCUGACAAGCCCUUUCUUCUGACUGUGCCCCUCCCCGCCGCCGCAGACACAACCCUGGUCCAGCCAGGCAGAGUUGCCCUCAAGUACUUUAAUGGCCACUUCAGGCUUGAAGGCUCCCGGGACCUGCAGGACGGAGGCAAAACACUGAAGGCUUUCAGGCCCUUCCACAUCUGGCCCAGCUGAGCUUAUCUUCCUAACUGCUACUCCCUCCUACCAAACUUCUACUCCAACAAUGACCACAAAAUCAUUUCCUGCGAAUGACAGGUCCCCCUCUGCCCGUCCCGCCCCCUUGCCUUUGCGCUUGCUGUUCCCUGCACCCCAAACAUUUCUCCACCCAGUGAAUGCCCCCAGUAGCCAAGGCCAAGCUCCAAGGUUAACCCCUCUGGCCGCCCGCAUCCCAGACAGGGUUAACUCCUCGGGGUGCUCACCACACUCUGAGGCUUGAGCACUAGCUGACAGCCAUCCCAUUGCCUCCCCCGGAGAAGGCCCCGGCUCUCCAAACUCCCAGGGGACUUUGUGGUCUGCACCACUCGCUUGGCUGCGGGUCAUGUCCCGCCCUGACCCAGCCUCUGGCAUGCCAGGGAUGAUCCAGCAUGCCAGAGGUUUCAUCCUGAACUUAAAGGACUUCUGAAUACUGCCGUUUCUUCCGUCUUGUUUCCCAGGAGUCUCUGAGUGUGCUGUGGCCAUGCGGGGUCCUCCACGUCUCCCACUUCCCUCAGAACACCCUGAGUGGGGCUCAGGACACAUCAGAAGCUGGAGGGGAUGGCGGUGGAAGCAGUACCAGUGAUGGGUGAGAUGUGUGGGCUGAGGCCAAGGUCAGGCAGGCAGGAGGUGGCAAGGCUGGAGCUGGUCUGCUCCCAGGACGCCCCUUCCGGGCUGCGCAGAGCACUCUGGAGGGUCACCUCAGGUCCUGAUUUCCCCAGAAUGUCUGGUCCCUGGCUCUGCAUCUGAGACCAUUCCUGGUGAGGCCUGGCCAGACGUGACCUGGCUAGAUGUGGCUGUAAGCAACCUAGCUCCACCUGGCUAGAGGGAGGCUCUGCACCAGUCCUGGGGGCAGGGCUGGGGGCAGGAAGGCGGUGGGUAGAGGUGGUGGCCUCAGCCUAAAGCGAUGCUGUGAGUGUGAGGGUCACAGCCCUGGGAGGAGAGGACAGGGGAACUCAGCUCAAAAUAGCGAUGGGGGAAGGGUGCAGAGGGUGGCCAAGGGCCAGAAGAGAAAUCUGAUCUGCUCUGGCUGAUGAAAUGCUGAAGUCAGCAGUUUGGGGCCACUCUGGCAGGAGCCAAGGCUGGGGCUCCCACGGCUGCCUGGUGAGAGGCUGCAGGCCCGACUUGCAGCCUCUGCUCUGUGCUCACAUCAAUCGCUCCUUUCUCUGGCCCUCCAUCUGCUCAUCUGGCCACUGAGGGGUAGUGAGAGAAGCAAGCUGUCCACCUCUGAGAACUUUCAUCAGGUGAGU
rnacentral:lncRNA from 1 species